CUCACUUGUUUUAACAGAAUUUUUCAGUUUGAUUUGGUCCUCAUGGACUUGUUCUAGAGUGAGCGGCACUAAGGUGAGUUUCUUUCCUUGAUGCUUGAAAGAAUACCUAUUGGUACGACCAUCGUGAGUGACUUUUCGAUCUAGUUGCCACGGUUCUCCUAGCAACAAAUGGCAGGCUUGAAUAGGCAUUACGUCGCACACAACUUCGUCUUGAUACUUACCGAUAGAAAAGGCGAUGCGCACUUGUUGAGUGACCCUAAAUUGGCCUUCGUUGCUAAGCCCUUGUAGUUG
rnacentral:lncRNA from 1 species